UCCGCCGUGCAGGCUCGUGGCGGCGGACUCAGGGCUGGGCGUUGAGGGCGGGAGGUGGCCUCUGGAAGCAGGGUUCGCGGUGCCCCCGCACGCCUGGCACGGCCGCUGCCACUCGAAUCAGUGAUCAGAACAAAAGGAAAGGAAAGAAAAAGAACAUCCAAUUAAAAUAAAUACGACGCCACAAACGCUAGAGCUUCGUUCGGUGUCAAUAUGAAAGGAGAGAAAUCAACGGCUGGUACAGCUGUUCUAAGUUUUCAGACUCCCACAGGAAAACGGCACAGGUUCUCUGGCUUGGAAUCAUUACUGUCACCCUUUAUGCAUCUGUGAUCUCUGAUUUCUCUACUUGACC